UAGGCGCAUGGGAUGAACUAGCAUGCGAGUCAUUGUAGCAAUACAAGGCAGACGGCUCAGUAACGCGUAGUCAACCUAACCUAUGGACGGGAAUAACCUCGGGAAACUGAGAAUAAUGCCCGAUAGAACACUAUACCUGGAAUGGUUUGUGUUCCAAAUGAUUUAUCGCCGUAGGAUGGGACUGCGGCCUAUCAGUUUGUUGGUGAGGUAAUGGCCCACCAAGACUAUUACAGGUACGGGCUCUGAGAGGAGUAGCCCGGAGAUGGGUACUGAGACACGGACCCAGGCCCUAUGGGGCGCAGCAGGCGAGAAAACUUUGCAAUGUGCGAAAGCACGACAAGGUUAAUCCGAGUGGUUUCUGCUAAAGGAACCUUUUGUCAGUCCUAGAAACACUGACGAAUAAGGGGUGGGCAAGUUCUGGUGUCAGCCGCCGCGGUAAAACCAGCACCUCAAGUGGUCAGGAUGAUUAUUGGGCCUAAAGCAUCCGUAGCCGGCUCUGUAAGUUUUCGGUUAAAUCUGUACGCUCAACGUACAGGCUGCCGGGAAUACCGCAGAGCUAGGGAGUGGGAGAGGUAGACGGUACUCGGUAGGAAGGGGUAAAAUCCUUUGAUCUAUUGAUGACCACCUGUGGCGAAGGCGGUCUACCAGAACACGUCCGACGGUGAGGGAUGAAAGCUGGGGGAGCAAACCGGAUUAGAUACCCGGGUAGCCCCAGCUGUAAACUAUGCAAACUCAGUGAUGCAUUGGCUUGUGGCCAAUGCAGUGCUGCAGGGAAGCCGUUAAGUUUGCCGCCUGGGAAGUACGUACGCAAGUAUGAAACUUAAAGGAAUUGGCGGGGGGAGCACCACAAGGGGUGAAGCCUGCGGUUCAAUUGGAGUCAACGCCGGG
rnacentral:rRNA from 1 species